CCAUGCAUGUCUCAGUGCAAGCUAAAAUAAAGUGAAACCGCAAAUGGCUCAUUAAAUCAGUUAUGGUUUAUUGGAUGAGACACCACAUUACUUGGAUAACUGUGGUAAUUCUAGAGCUAAUACAUGCAAAUAGAGUUCCCAUCGGAGACGGUAGGAACGCUUUUAUUAGAUCAAAACCAAUACGUUCGCCUCGGCGAACGAUACCAUUGGUGACUCUGAAUAACUUUUUGAUGAUCGCAUGGUCUUUGUACCGGCGACAAAUCUUUCAAAUGUCUGCCUUAUCAACUGUCGAUGGUAGAUUUUGCGCCUACCAUGGUUGUAACGGGUGACGGGGAAUCAGGGUUUGAUUCCGGAGAGGGAGCCUGAGAAACGGCUACCACAUCCAAGGAAGGCAGCAGGCGCGCAAAUUACCCACUCCCGGCACGGGGAGGUAGUGACGAAAAAUAACGAUACGGGACUCAUCCGAGGCCCCGUAAUCGGAAUGAGCACACUUUAAAUACUUUAACAAGUAUCAAUUGG
rnacentral:rRNA from 1 species